rnacentral:rRNA from 1 species
GUCUCCGGACCGUAGCGGCGGACGGGUGAGUAACACGUAGGCAACCUGCCUGUGAGACUGGGAUAACAUAGGGAAACUUAGGCUAAUACCGGAUAGGGUUUUGCUUCGCCUGAAGCGAAACGGAAAGAUGGCGCAAGCUAUCACUUACAGAUGGGCCUGCGGCGCAUUAGCUAGUUGGUGAGGUAACGGCUCACCAAGGCGACGAUGCGUAGCCGACCUGAGAGGGUGACCGGCCACACUGGGACUGAGACACGGCCCAGACUCCUACGGGAGGCAGCAGUAGGGAAUUUUCCACAAUGGACGAAAGUCUGAUGGAGCAACGCCGCGUGAACGAUGAAGGCUUUCGGGUCGUAAAGUUCUGUUGUUAGGGAAGAAACAGUGCUAUUUAAAUAAGAUAGCACCUUGACGGUACCUAACGAGAAAGCCACGGCUAACUACGUGCCAGCAGCCGCGGUAAUACGUAGGUGGCAAGCGUUGUCCGGAAUUAUUGGGCGUAAAGCGCGCGCAGGUGGCUAUGUAAGUCUGAUGUUAAAGCCCGAGGCUCAACCUCGGUUCGCAUUGGAAACUGUGUAGCUUGAGUGCAGGAGAGGAAAGUGGUAUUCCACGUGUAGCGGUGAAAUGCGUAGAGAUGUGGAGGAAC